GCCCUCGUAGCUCAGUGGAUUAGAGCGCUUGCUUGCGGAGCAAUAGGUCGCGUGUUCGAAUCGCGCCGAGGGCGCCA
rnacentral:tRNA from 1 species